rnacentral:rRNA from 1 species
GAUGAACGCUAGCUACAGGCUUAACACAUGCAAGUCGAGGGGCAGCAUGGUCUUAGCUUGCUAAGGCCGAUGGCGACCGGCGCACGGGUGAGUAACACGUAUCCAACCUGCCGUCUACUCUUGGACAGCCUUCUGAAAGGAAGAUUAAUACAAGAUGGCAUCAUGAGUCCGCAUGUUCACAUGAUUAAAGGUAUUCCGGUAGACGAUGGGGAUGCGUUCCAUUAGAUAGUAGGCGGGGUAACGGCCCACCUAGUCUUCGAUGGAUAGGGGUUCUGAGAGGAAGGUCCCCCACAUUGGAACUGAGACACGGUCCAAACUCCUACGGGAGGCAGCAGUGAGGAAUAUUGGUCAAUGGGCGAGAGCCUGAACCAGCCAAGUAGCGUGAAGGAUGACUGCCCUAUGGGUUGUAAACUUCUUUUAUAAAGGAAUAAAGUCGGGUAUGGAUACCCGUUUGCAUGUACUUUAUGAAUAAGGAUCGGCUAACUCCGUGCCAGCAGCCGCGGUAAUACGGAGGAUCCGAGCGUUAUCCGGAUUUAUUGGGUUUAAAGGGAGCGUAGAUGGAUGUUUAAGUCAGUUGUGAAAGUUUGCGGCUCAACCGUAAAAUUGCAGUUGAUACUGGAUAUCUU